GUACUCGUAGUCAACCUGCCCUGGAGACCUGAACAACCCCGGGCAACUGGGAUUAAUGCGGGAUAGGUCAUCUCAUCUGGAAGGAGAGAUGGCUCAAAGGGGUGCGCGGGCUUCUUCCGUGUACUUGUUCCAGGAUGGGACUGCGACCGAUCAGGCUGUUGGCGAGGUAAUGGCUCACCAAACCAGUAACCGGUACGGGCCUUGAGAGAGGGGGCCCGGAGAUGGACACUGAGAGAAGGGUCUAGGUCCUACGGGGCGCAGCAGGCGCGAAACCUUCGCAAUGCGCGAAAGCGUGACGAGGUUAAUCCGAGUGGUCCCCGCUGAGGGGAUCUUUUGUCGGCUGUAAAAAGGCCGGUGAAUAAGGGGAGGGCAAGUCUGGUGUCAGCCGCCGCGGUAAUACCAGCUCCUCGAGUGGUCGGGGCGAUUAUUGGGCCUAAAGCAUCCGUAGCCGGUUCCGUAGGUCUUCUGUCAAAUCCAACGGCUCAACCGUUGGCCCGCAGAAGAUACCGCGGGACU
rnacentral:rRNA from 1 species